rnacentral:lncRNA from 1 species
CAAGGAGGUGGCAAACGUGUGCAACCAGAGCCUGAUGAAGCUGGUCAUCCCAGAGGAUGAUGAAAUGGAUGAGGCCAAGCCAUCAAUGACUAUGCCAGCAGAGCCCACCUCAGAGGAGUCCCUUUCCAAGCCAGAGGCAGUGACCACCGAGGAGGGCACCCAGUUUGGGGCAGAGGUCUGAAGCAGUACCUGUCUGCAUUUUGCUGGGUACCCUGGAUGCAUCUGGUGACUCCAGCAACAGUGGU